rnacentral:rRNA from 1 species
CAGUAGCCACGGUAAUACGUAGGUGGCAAGCGUUGUCCGGAAUUAUUGGGCGUAAAGGGCUCGCAGGCGGUUUCUUAAGUCUGAUGUGAAAGCCCCCGGCUCAACCGGGGAGGGUCAUUGGAAACUGGGAAACUUGAGUGCAGAAGAGGAGAGUGGAGUUCCACGUGUAGCGGUGAAAUGCGUAGAGAUGUGGAGGAACACCAGUGGCGAAGGCGACUCUCUGGUCUGUAACUGACGCUGAGGAGCGAAAGCGUGGGGAGCGAACAGGAUUAGAUACCCGGGUAGUCCCUGUCUCUUAUAC